rnacentral:lncRNA from 1 species
UGAGGUGAUGGAGGAAAACCCUUCACGGCACCUAUCUUUUAUUUCAUUGAUGCAAUGGCAGCAGUCCCGGUUCCUAAUCAGGGGAGCAGAGCCAGGCUUCAGGCAGAUCCCAUGCUGCCCAGUAUGACAGCAGCCAGGAGCCACAGCGUGUGGCUGCUGGACUCUUGAAUGUGGUUUGUUUGAUGGAGGAGCUGAAUUUUUAAUUGUAUUUAAUUUCAGUUAACGUCACACCGGAUAUUCAGUUCAGUUUUGGGCAAACUUGUAAGUGUAUUUAAAUUACCCUAGGCACACGCGUCUAUUUUUCAAAUGAUACGUCUUCUGAACUUUAGCUACGGAUCAAACGCGUCCUUAACGGUGAUCAGCGUUUCCGAUGACAGUUUAGCGGUCACGCUGAAAUGUGCUGAGUGUAAAAAUGCCCUGGUUUCGAAGACUUCACAACAUGCAAAGAGAAACGGAAAGGAGCUGGCGAAUACGUUUUUGGGUUGAUUCCAUGUUGAAGUGAUACUAUUUCAGAUAAGAUGGAUUAAAUAAAACGAAUUAUUCAAACGGAAUCCACCUACAAGGGGUUAUUCUCCAGCCGUAAAAAGGAACGGAGGACGUGUUCCCAGGCGACCACGUGCACGAACCUGGCACCAGGCUGUGCGCAGGGAGCACACGUGUUCUGCGAUUCCACGGACGCGACGCGACCGGAGGAGGCGGGGCCGUGGAGACAGGAAUUUCCCGGGAAAUUGUGGCAGCUGAAUUUGCAUGAUGUAGCUACAAAUGGAAUCUGCAAAAUGUGUGUGUUCAUGUGGUUUGGACGUGAGAAUAAUUCCUGUACCCGGUCAUGUCGGGAAGAGUCGAAAUAUUCACUUCCCGUCCCCCAGGGACCAGGCCAGCUCUCGGACCCUGACAGUUGAUGGCAGCUUGGAGGCUUAAUGGAGGCCGCGUGACCCAUGGAACGCCUGCAGGCCAGCCACCCUGCGCUCAAGAAAUGGGAGCGGCUAUUAGCAGCAGGACUGCUCUUAGAAAAUGUGCUAAGUAAUGCAUGGAGUGUGGUGUUUCACAGCCACGUAAUGAUGGUAAAAUACGCUGUAAAUCAAUAGAGGAGGUGGCCUGUGUUUUAACCCUUUGAAUCAGUUUCACUCGUUUCUGUGACUUCUAUGAGAGAAAAUAAUGGAUUUAAAAAACAUAGUUGCAGUGUUUUGCUGAGCUGUGGGUUUAUUCAUUUGGUGUUUCAUCCAACGAGUUUUUUGUUUUUUUUUUUUUCUUCUUUUCUAGGGCCGCACCCGUGGCACAUGGAGGUUCCCAGGCUAGGGGUCGAAUCGGAGCUGUAGCCGCCGGCCUCCGCCAGAGCCACAGCCACGCCAGAUCUGAGCUGUGUCUGCGAUCUACACCCCAGCUCACGGCAACGCCGGAUCCUUAACCCACUGAGCGAGCCC